rnacentral:lncRNA from 1 species
CUUCCCCCCCCCCCCCCGAUACUCCCACAAAUCUGGUGUCUUUGAGCUUUCUGUUACAUUUGACUGACAUAUAGAUCAGAACUUCCAGUAGCAAUACAGACUUGCAUCUGCAUGUGCUAGGACACUAUAAACUUUGGCUUUUUCAGAUCCACUGUCAAAAGCGCCAUAAGAUACGAUCGCUUUAGGCUUUUUCCUAGUGUUUUUUGAAUUGCAUUGUGUUGGAAUUGCUGACAAAUUCUUUAAAAAUACCAACGCACAAGGCCUACUUCUUCCGAGCAGAAUUUCAGGUCAGGAACGGACACCAGAGCACAGACUGCUCCCAGGCUGCAAAAAUACUGCCUGGUUUUUUUUUCCUGAGAGGAAGUCUGUGAGAUAGCAUGCUGGCUCCCACCGGGGAGCAAUUCCAGAGAGCGCGUUGAUUACUCCCCUUCCUAGAUGGGACCAAAGACCAAGCUAGAGAUCACUACUGUCAAAGGUCCCUGCAGGCCUUUUGUCUGGAGGCAAGUACUGGUUUGCAAGAAGGAAUUACAUGGACUUGCAAGACCUCAGGAUAAGCAAAGGCAUAUUUUUGGAGCUCUGCACAUUGGUUGCUUCAGGGCUGCUGGAUAUUAG